rnacentral:lncRNA from 1 species
AAUUCACUAUUCAUUUAUUCAUAUAAUACACUAUGUUGCAAAAUAAUGAUGUACAAAAAGUAGAGCAAAAAUUGUGUAAUUUUAUAUACAAAUGUUUUUCAGCUAGAUAAACAGAUGUUUAAAAUUUAUCACCAAGGAAUGCACAGAAUAUUUUGACAGCAUUUGAGAAUAGUGAAUCUGAGAUCAAUAUAAGAAGUAGAGUUCAUAAGUAUGGAUAUAUCUGACCAGUUCUGCUGUUUCAUUAUAUUAACCAAUGAACUGGUAGCUGCCAAUUUAAUCAACAAUCUCACUCACUCACACACGCAUGCACGCACUCAUGCACAUACUCAUGCACAUGUGCACACAAACACAAACACACAAACAAUUGCUUUAUCAAAUUAUAUCUGCCUAUAUUUAUAUAGCCCUUCUUAUUGAGUGUGUACAAGUGCUUAUUUCUUUUACAUCACAAUACUUGAAUAUGUAUAUCAACAAAUAUACCUCUUAGAAAAAAUUUAGAAUCCUCCUAUUUUGGCUGCAUAAUUUUCUAAGAGAGUUGUAUUGGCAGCAUAAUUUUCUAAGAGAGUUGUAUUGGCAGCAUAAUUUUCUAAGAGAGUUGU